rnacentral:lncRNA from 1 species
GAGUCAUAACUACGAACCCUAAAUCUCAAGUAUCGUCUUAAAGAUACCUCGAAAUAGGUAAAUUCAUCGUCAACUCUUCUACCACAUUCAGGGAAACGAAUCAACUCCGAAAAUUAAAAUAAUCGGAAGGGACAGAGAGAUACCCGGGACUGGCUCCAUCUCCAGUGUGAGAGAGAGACCUGUCGUCAUCGUUGUUGCGGUGGUUGUUGGAUUGAUGGCUGUCGUCAGCUUCUCCGCCUGAGAGCUCCUCGUUGUUGACGUGAGGGUCCAUGACAGAGC